GUCACUAGCUCAGUGGUAGAGCAUUUGACUGCAGUUCGAGAGGUCCCCGGUUCAAACCCGGGGUCCCCCUUCUGCAGCA